UUAAUUGACUCAACGCCGGGCAGCUCACCGGAUAGGACAGCGGAAUGAUAGCCGGGCUGAAGACCUUGCUUGACCAGCUGAGAGGAGGUGCAUGGCCGUCGUCAGUUCGUACUGUGAAGCAUCCUGUUUAGUCAGGCAACGAGCGAGACCCACGCCAACAGUUGCUAGCAUGUUCUGCGGAAUGAUGAGGACACUGUUGGGACCGCCUCUGCUAAAAGGGGGGGGGGAAAGGGCAACGGUAGGUCAGCAUGCCCCGAAUUAUCCGGGCUACACGCGGGCUACAAUGGUCAGGACAAUGGGAAACGGCACUGAAAAGUGUAGUCAAUCUCCUAAACCUGUCCCAAGUUCGGAUUGUGGGCUGCAACUCGCCCACAUGAAGCUGGAAUCCGUAGUAAUCGCGUUUCAAAAUAGCGCGGAAAAUAAGUC
rnacentral:rRNA from 1 species